rnacentral:rRNA from 1 species
GAGCCCGGCGUAUCUGGCCUGCAUUCAGCCGUGGGCCUUCUGGCGUCAGGGAUGCCGCUCUCCAGAUUGGGACGGUGGCCUGUCUGCUGGGAGGUGCAUGGUGCAUUUGCAGGCCGAGUGCGCGGAGGCGCUCGGUGCAGCGGCAUGAGCUCAGUGUUGAGGCCAGGCUCGCAAGAGUGCUGGUACCCGCGCUGGGGGAGUGCUGUUUGUGCUGGGUGUUUUGUGGUGAGCAAUGGUUCCGAGCCGGUGCGGGCGCCGAGCUGGCAGUUGGAGGCGGUCGCGUGCGACACGUGCCUGCGGUCAGUUCGGUCCUGCGCGCAGGCUCUCAUCUGCUCGUCCUCGGUGUAAAAGCCGGUCAUCUGUCCGACCCGUCUUGAAACACGGACCAAGGAGUUUAGCGUGUGCGCGAGUCAUUGGGCGUUGAAAACCCAGAGGCGCAAUGAAAGUGAAGGACUCCCUUGCGGAGCUGAUGUGUGAUCCUGGGCCCCGCGGGGUCCGGGCGCAACAUAGUCCCGUCCCGACCGCAUGCGGUGGGGCGGAGACAGAGCGUACGCGCUGAGACCCGAAAGAUGGUGAACUAUUCCUGAGCAGGAUGAAGCCAGAGGAAACUCUGGUGGAAGUCCGAAGU